UCACAGGGCCCCCAACUGGA
rnacentral:misc_RNA from 1 species